rnacentral:rRNA from 1 species
UGGGGAAUAUUGCACAAUGGGCGCAAGCCUGAUGCAGCCAUGCCGCGUGUAUGAAGAAGGCCUUCGGGUUGUAAAGUACUUUCAGCGGGGAGGAAGGGAGUAAAGUUAAUACCUUUGCUCAUUGACGUUACCCGCAGAAGAAGCACCGGCUAACUCCGUGCCAGCAGCCGCGGUAAUACGGAGGGUGCAAGCGUUAAUCGGAAUUACUGGGCGUAAAGCGCACGCAGGCGGUUUGUUAAGUCAGAUGUGAAAUCCCCGGGCUCAACCUGGGAACUGCAUCUGAUACUGGCAAGCUUGAGUGUCGUAGAGGGGGGUAGAAUUCCAGGUGUAGCGGUGAAAUGCGUAGAGAUCUGGAGGAAUACCGGUGGCGAAGGCGGCCCCCUGGACGAAGACUGACGCUCAGGUGCGAAAGCGUGGGGAACAAACAGG